AAUGAACGCUGGCGGCGCGCCUAAUACAUGCAAGUCGAGCGAGAAGACGUAGCAAUACGUUUGUAAAGCGGCGAACGGGUGAGGAAUACAUGGGUAACCUACCCUCGAGUGGGGAAUAACUAGCCGAAAGGUUAGCUAAUACCGCGUACGCUCCUUGGACUUCGGUUCAGGGAGGAAAGCGAUACCGUGGGUAUCGCGCUCUUGGUUGGGCUCAUGUCCUAUCAGCUUGUUGGUGAGGUAACGGCUCACCAAGGCUUCGACGGGUAGCUGGUCUGAGAGGACGAUCAGCCACACUGGCACUGCGACACGGGCCAGACUCCUACGGGAGGCAGCAGUAAGGAAUAUUGCGCAAUGGGCGAAAGCCUGACGCAGCGACGCCGCGGUGGGGGAGU
rnacentral:rRNA from 1 species